GCGGUGGAGUAUGUGGUUUAAUUCGACGCAACGCGAAGAACCUUACCAGGGUUUGACAUCCACUGAAUGCCUAAGAGAUUAGGUCGGCCCCUUCGGGGACAGUGAGACAGGUGGUGCAUGGCUGUCGUCAGCUCGUGUCGUGAGAUGUUGGGUUAAGUCCCGCAACGAGCGCAACCCUUAUCCUGUGUUACCAGCGUGAAAGACGGGGACUCACAGGAGACUGCCGCCGACAAGGCGGAGGAAGGCGGGGAUGACGUCAAGUCAUCAUGCCCCUUAUGUCCUGGGCUACACACGUACUACAAUGGGUGCGAACAGAGGGCAGCAAUCCCGCGAGGGGGAGCCAAUCCCACAAAAGCACUCUCAGUUCGGAUCGCAGGCUGCAACCCGCCUGCGUGAAGUCGGAAUCGCUAGUAAUCGCAGAUCAGCAGGCUGCGGUGAAUACGUUCCCGGGCCUU
rnacentral:rRNA from 1 species